CUCGAUGAAUGCUUUUAAGAUAUCAAAGCAAAUUUUGUGACGAGAUAAAAAGAAUUUUAGCAAGGUUAUUGUAGAAACCCGUUAAAAAAAAAAGAAAAAAAAAAGAAUGGUCGAACAUCAAUUUGGUGGUCGAGUCGCGGGCAAUAAGGAUCGAUCGAGAAGUUUUAAAGUAUGAGGUGGGCGAAGAAGUGAUCGUGGGUGAACUAUGAGUCGAAUAAGUUGCUCGACCAUAGUUAGAAGAUGUCUUAGA
rnacentral:lncRNA from 1 species